rnacentral:tRNA from 1 species
GGGCCGAUAGCUCAGUUGGUAGAGCACCGGACUUUUAAUCCGAGGGUCGUGGGUUCGACUCCCGCUCGGCUCA